GAGAAGAUAAGAUGAUGCACAAUCAGUAGAGAAAAGAGAAAAAGAACAACUACAGAAAUCGGUUCAAAGAACUCAGAGUGAUCGAUAGGGAGUUAAGAGAAAACAAAACGAAAACUGAUUUUGCAAAAAGAAAAAAAAAAGAGAAAGCACAAAGGAUAAAUUCGGCCAAUAAGGGAAAGGAUUGCCAUCAACAACAUGGGAAGAUUUUGGGGAGAGGAUGUCGAAAUUUUGAGAAAAGAAACCUCAUUCAGCAUAACUCUCACCACAUCGCUUAAUGCUCUCCUACAAAUUCUCCAACCACCCCUCUAUCCAAAACCCCUUAACAACCGAAAUCCCCCUUACUAGCCUCCUAAAAAUCGGCCACACAUCCCUGCACUCCUCAAACACCUUACUUUUCUCCCCAAAACAAGAUAACUUCCCACAUCCUAUACUUUCCUCCUAAAACCACUCCAACCUUUCCCCUACUCAGAAUUUAUC
rnacentral:lncRNA from 1 species